rnacentral:rRNA from 1 species
UACGGCGGUGGCAAGCGUUGUCCGGAUUUACUGGGUGUAAAGGGCGUGCAGCCGGAGAGACAAGUCAGAUGUGAAAUCCACGGGCUCAACCCGUGAACUGCAUUUGAAACUGUUUCCCUUGAGUGUCGGAGAGGUAAUCGGAAUUCCUUGUGUAGCGGUGAAAUGCGUAGAUAUCAGGAGGAAUACCGUUAGCGAAGGCGGCAAUCUGGCUGGAAACUGACGCUGAGGUGCGAAAGCGUGGGUAGCAAACAGG